rnacentral:rRNA from 1 species
UACGUAGGGGGCAAGCGUUGUCCGGAUUUAUUGGGCGUAAAGAGCUCGUAGGCGGCUCGGUAAGUCGGAUGUGAAACCUCCAGGCUCAACCUGGAGACGCCAUCUGAUACUGCCGUGGCUUGAGUCCGGUAGAGGAGCAGGGAAUUCCUGGUGUAGCGGUGAAAUGCGCAGAUAUCAGGAGGAACACCGGUGGCGAAGGCGGAUCUCUGGGCCUUACCUGACGCUGAGGAGCGAAAGCUGGGGGAGCAAACAGG